AAGUCGUAACAAGGUUUCCGUAGGUGAACCUGCGGAAGGAUCAUUAACGAAUAACUAUGGUGUCUUGGUUGUAGCUGGCUCCUCGGAGCAAUGUGCACGCCCGCCAUUUUUAUCUUUCCACCUGUGCACCGACUGUAGGUCUGGAUGACUCUCGCACUCCGGUGCGGAUGCGAGGAUUGCUCUCGGGCUCUCCUCGAAUUUCCAGGCUCUACGUCUUUUUACACACCCCAAACGUAUGAUACAGAAUGCAGUCAAUGGGCUUGAUCGCCUAUAAAACACUAUACAACUUUCAGCAACGGAUCUCUUGGCUCUC
rnacentral:misc_RNA from 1 species